rnacentral:lncRNA from 1 species
AUGUAGACUAUUUCUCUAUGUUUGCUAUUUUGGAAUAAACAUGCCAGUCCAAGGGAAUUUGCAUUUUAUGUGUGGCUGAAUGCUGAUAGAUUAUUCUUCUGGAAGACCAAUCUGCUUACCACCCCCGUCUGUCUCAUUGUGAGAAAGUCCAUGUCCCCCUGCCCAUGGCGACACUCCAUAGCAUCAAGACUUUUCCUUUUUAGCCCUUUUGAAACUUUUUAGUGUGUGGGUUGCAUUUCCCUGAUGACCAUACAGCUGAGCAUCUUUUCCCGGCCCCUGGCCACUCAUAUUGGCUCAGUGUGGAUUGUCUUUUUCCAUCCUUGCCAAGUCUGCUAUUGAGUUACUUAUCUUACCCGAUGCCUCGGUAGAUAAGAAUCCAACAUAGUGUCUGUGAGGAUUAAGGUUCAAUUCCUGGCAUUGCUCAUGGGUUAAGGAUCAGGUGUUGCUGCAAGCGGCAGUGUAGGUCGCAGAUGCAGCUUGGAUCUAAUGUUGCCAUGGUUAUGGCUAUGGCAUAGGCUGGCAGCUGCAGCUUCCAUUCACCCCCUAGCCUGGGAACGUCCAUAUGCUGCAGGUGCAGUCGUGAAAAGAAAAAAAAAGAUCUGGUUCCUGGCCACACUCUUAACCAGCUUUGUGACCAUGAGUUAGUCAAUGCUCCUUUGAGUGCCUCCAAGUUUACAUCUAUAAAGAAGGCACUUGAACAACCUAUUCCUUUUAUAACUCUUUAGUUUGAAACCUGGCAUCUCUCUGUAGCAAGGAGUUCCCACCCCAUUGGGACUUCCUUCAGCCCUUUGGGCUUAUUUUUAAUUAACUAACUAUCAGAACUCUUACAGGUCGAAUCUGAUGAUGAUCAGCGGCUCCCUCUGAGGCCCCUAGCCUGGCCCUCCAUCCCAGCCUGCUCCCACACAGGUCUCCAUCUCACAAGCACAGGCUGUCAGGUGGGGCGGCCGCCCCUGCAGUUCAGCACCUGCUAGCUGGACAGUUCCCGGGGGCACUGGUGGGGCAGGGGGUGCUGGGAAAGCUGCAGAGUACCAGGAGGGUGGGGCAUCUCUUCACCAAUAAAGGCCCACCAGGCAGCACCCCCCCUUCUGCAAGCCAACCCCCUUCCAGACUUGAGACUCUAGAACCCCUCGGUCACCCGAGGCUCCAGGUGCUCCAGAAUCCAGAAGUUAGCCUGUAGCCCCGGUCCUCAGUGAACAAGGUCUCCUCUGAGCUCUCUCACAAUGGGUAUGGGUCUCUGUCUCGGGGAUGCUGGACUUCAGCUCACAGCCUUGUGAAAUCAAGGGAUGGCCCUAACUACAAACAGGUAUUUGUCUAAAUAUGUCAAAUGGAGAAGAAGGGUCACGUGCCAGGAAUGAAGAGAGCUGGACUUUUUGUCUGCUCUGUCACAGCCAGUGGGACAAUGCCAGGGAGGGCUGGCAUCUUUUAGGCCCAUGGCAGCUCUCCCAGAUGAGUCCGUGAUCUGCAGAACAAAGCCUCUUCGGCUUGCAGGUCACUCAGGGAUCCCUUUGUUUCUCCUAAGCUCUUUGCCAUAAAGCCUACAUAGCUCUCCUCAGUUCCACCUGUACCACUGCCAUCUCCAGCCAGUCAAUAUCAGCCCUAUCAGCAAACAAACUCCAUUUUGCCUUUAGGCAAAGUGAUUGACAAUUGGCCCAUACACCCACUCUUUGCUUUACUCUUUCUACACCAGAGAGGAAGUAUCUCGUGGUUAUAAGAGUUAAAUGCACUUGGUUGAAUUCCACUGCAUGACCUUGGCCUCGUUACUGAAACUUUUUUCUUUUUUCUUUUUUUUUUUUUUAUUUAUGCUGCACAUGGGGCAUAUGGAAGUUCCUGGGCCAGGGACUGAAUCCAAGCCACAGCUAAGACGUACGCUGAAGCUGUGAUAGCGCUGGAUCCUUUAACCCAUUGUGCUGAUUCAAGGAUCAAACCCGUGUCUCCUAGUGACCUGAGCCACUGCAGUGGAAUUCUUAACCCACUGUGCCACAGCAGGAACUCCUAGUUACAGAAACUUUCUAAGCCUCAGUUUCUGUAUCUGUAACAUGGGAACAGUGAGCAUGUUCCUUGUAGGAUUAUUAUGCAACCAAGUGAGAUAAUGCAAGCGAAGUACUGUGCACAAUGCCUGGCUCAAUACAUUUUAUUUAUUAUUAUUUGUACUUAUUGCUCCUUCUCUAGCAUCCAUCCAAGUAGUGAAGUAAAUAGAACAGCUUAAAUUAUGCUUCUGGUAGUCUAUAUUUGUAGAACGAUCUAUUUCUUAAGUUACACAUUAAUUCAAGGCUUCAUUAAGUAGCUCAAUGCCUUGGGCAACAGAUUACUUAUAAAUAGUAUAAUAUUUAGUGGCUCCUGAGUUCUGCAGUCAGACAUUAUUAAUGGUCCAUGACUUAGAAUCAGGAUGAAGUUUAAACACGUGUCCCCAUCCACUCGGGUCCCCAUCUGCACACACACACACAUGUACACACACACAAGUGCACACAUGAGACGAUGGGGAAGACACCCCCCAGGCUGGUGCUCCCAGCAACACUUAUAAUUAUUUUUGGAAAAAGAAGAUUACGAUGAAAGGGGAAGAAAACCAACGUUUUCUUUCAAUGAACAUUGUAAAAAAGGAGUUCCCGUUGUGGCUCAGAGGGUUAAGAACCUGGCAUGGUGUCUUUGAGGAUCUAGGUUCAUUCCCUGGCCUCACUCAGUGGGUUAAGGAUCUGGCGUUGCUGCAAGCUGGGGGGUAGGUAGCCGACAUGGCUCAGCUCUGGCAUUGCCGUGGCUGUUGGGUAGGCAGGAAGCUGCAGUUCCUAUUUGACCCCUAGCCUGGGAGUUUCCAUAUGCUGCAGGUGCAGCCUUAAAAAGAAAAAAAAUAAUGGUAGCAAUUUAGAACAUUCAACAGAGGUUAUUCCGGCCUUCAGCUGUUUGGGGGAUGUGCGUGUGUGUGGGUACGUGUACGCAUGUGUGUCUUUUGUUGCGGACAGGCUACCCGAGGACAGAGUUGGCAGAAGAGAGGGUCAGAGUGGGCAUGUGGACACAUCCACGGGAAGCACACCUGGCUCAGUGGAACAGCCUUGAAGAAACCAAGGGCUUCAAAGAUGGUCUAGGCCUUCAAAGCAUAUCUUAGCUAAAGCUAGUUACACUAUGCAUUUUUUCCCACUGCAAACAGAGGACCCCACCAUUCUAAGGUCUCUGGGGUGACCGGAGGGAUGGCUAUUCCUCGCCUUCAAGCUCCUGGCAACUCUGAGCCCAGACAUCUUGGUCUGCCUCCCCCAGCCCUGGCCCCCACCCGUGAUCACUGCUCCUAACAAGGCUGGUCCACCCUUAAACUAUUCACUUGCUUCUGGGUACAGUCCAUUCUCUGUUUCCAUAAGUUGUGUGAAAAACCCUCUGGCCAGAGGAUGUUAGGGCUUCACUCUUUGCAGAAUGCAGGGGAUGUUGCCACAGAAAACACCAGAAUCUUGAUCCCUGUUCUGUUGGUUGCAGACCCUGGGUAAUUUCUACCACACUUUCUUUCUUGUGUUUCCCCGAAUCACAGUCAGCAUAAUCCUUAAAAACCAUGCUGUCGAAGUUGACUGCCUGGGAAACCGAGGUGCAGAAAGAAAAAGUCAUGGCCACAGGCAGCCGCAGUGACGAUCAAGGCCGAAGCCAGCCUCCCCUACCUGGUCCCGACCUUUUCUGCUGGAUCCUGGGCGGACUGCUUCUCCAGCACACGUAUCCACCUUUGCAUCCGGUGACCCAGAGCCUGCAUGAUGUCCCAGUCUUCCUGCUGUGCCUGGACAGGGAUGCUGGAUGAACUCAGCUAAACCUGUAAACCCACAGCACCAGUGCGCAGACUGUCUGUGCUAGUUGCUCCGCGUGUCCCUGAGCUGUUUCUGUGCUACUCGGUGGGAGGAGGCAGCCAGGUUAGACCCAAGCCGGUGCUUGUGGAUGGCAGCCCCACCCUGCGCCCAGCUGCCCCUUGGUCCCAGCAUCCCCAUCACCUCGGGAAGCCUAGAGAGCUGGGCCUCAAGCACCUGCUGACCUCUGCCCGGCAGAAGGCAUGGUGAUGUCACUGGGGUUAACAUUUCCUGCUUCCUCUUGGGACAGAUGGCUCCCCUUCCCUAUUGGGAGAGAAAGCUUUGGUGAGAGAUAAUAAUCCAGGCUUGCGGAGACCUGGGGGAGUGCUCAGAGGGGCCCAGGUCUGCACAGGUGAGGCAUGGGCUCAAGAGAAGGAGGAAGGCAGUUCUGUCCUUUUGUUAGAAAACCUCUAGUUUCUUCCUGGUUUGCCCUGUGACUUUCCAUGUGCAGAGUGUACGGGGCAGCGCUUCUUUCAAAAGGGAAGAACUGUGGGGUGGCUAAGGCCAGAGGAACGCCUACCAACCUGGUCCCGGGGGCAACGCGAACUUCCUAGCUGAUGCCAUGGAACAUCACGGCUGCUCAGACCCAUGUGAACACCCCAGUUCCAGACUGGAGACGGGACCAAGAGGUUCCCCUCACAGCAAGAUGCCUGCCUCUGCCACCCAGUUUUGCAACGACUUCCUCAGGGAAGGACCACAGUGUUUGCUGAGCACCUGUGCUGGCCAGGGUGAGGGCUUCCUGCCCAUCCAUUCCGGCGAGCAUCUCAAGGUCAGUAUCAAGGGGCGGUGGGUGCUUAGGGGAAAGAGCACAAUAAGCAGGGGCAGAGCAGGGAGAAUGAGGGGGAAUUUGCAUAGAGGAUGAAGGACAGAGGCAAAGGGAGGCAGGGUGAUUGGAGCCUGGGCAUCCUCACUGCCUGGGACAGCCGGGCAAUGCUAGGUCAGUGUUCCUGCCAAGAGCCAUUCUGUCUCGCCCUGCGGGGCCCCUAGACCAUCCCUCUCAGGGCCAUUAUACCCAGACAGAUGGCACACUUGCAUGCCCUGGUUGGAAACUGCUCAGCUAAGGAAUGGAAUGU